AGACCAACCCUUGAGAGUGGACGGAACGGGUGAGUAAUAUAGUCGGAACGUCGCCCAGUCGGUGGGGGAUAACGUAGCGAAAGUUACGCUAAUACCGCAUACGAUCUAAGGAUGAAAGCGGGGGGAUCGCAAGACCUCGCGCGAUUGGAGCGGCCGAUAUCAGAUUAGGUAGUUGGUGAGGUAAAGGCUCACCAAGCCAACGAUCUGUAGCUGGUCUGAGAGGACGACCAGCCACACUGGAACUGAGACACGGUCCAGACUCCUACGGGAGGCAGCAGUGGGGAAUUUUGGACAAUGGACGCAAGUCUGAUCCAGCCAUUCCGCGUGCAGGAUGAAGGCCCUCGGGUUGUAAACUGCUUUUGUACGGAACGAAAAGGUUUCUAUUAAUACUAGGAGCUCAUGACGGUACCGUAAGAAUAAGCACCGGCUAACUACGUG
rnacentral:rRNA from 1 species